GACGAACGCUGGCGGCGCGCUUCACACAUGCAAGUCGAACGAGAAGCCCGGGCUUGCCCGGGUGGAAAGUGGCGAACGGGUGAGUAACACGUGAGCAACCUGCCCCGAAGACCGGGAUAACACCGGGAAACCGGUGCUAAUACCGGAUGUCUUCGCCGGACCGCAUGAUCCGGCGAGGAAAUGGUCAGCCGCUUCGGGAUGGGCUCGCGGCCUAUCAGCUUGUUGGUGGGGUAACGGCCCACCAAGGCGACGACGGGUAGCUGGUCUGAGAGGAUGUCCAGCCACACUGGGACUGAGACACGGCCCAGACUCCUACGGGAGGCAGCAGUGGGGAAUCUUGCGCAAUGGGCGAAAGCCUGACGCAGCGACGCCGCGUGCGGGAUGAAGGCCUUCGGGUUGUAAACCGCUUUCAGCAGGGACGAAAUUGACGGUACCUGCAGAAGAAGCCCCGGCCAACUACGUGCCAGCCGCCGCAGUAAAAC
rnacentral:rRNA from 1 species